UCCUGGCUCAGGAUGAACGCUAGCGGCAGGCUUAACACAUGCAAGUCGAGGGGCAACGCGAGUAGCAAUACUUGGCGGCGACCGGCGCAAGGGUGCGUAACGCGUGAGCAACAUGCCCGUAUCAGGGGGAUAAUCCAGGGAAACUUGGCUAAUACCCCAUAGUAAUUUUGUAAGGCAUCUUAUAAGAUUUAAAGCUUUGGUGGAUACGGAUUGGCUCGCGUGACAUUAGCUGGAUGGUAAGGUAACGGCUUACCAUGGCUAUGAUGUCUAGGGGUUCUGAGAGGAAGGUCCCCCACACUGGAACUGAGACACGGUCCAGACUCCUACGGGAGGCAGCAGUGAGGAAUAUUGGACAAUGGAUGGAAAUCUGAUCCAGCCAUGCCGCGUAGAAGGAAGAAGGUCCUAUGGAUUGUAAACUUCUUUUGUAUGGGAGCAAUAAGGCCUACGAGUAGGUUGAUGAGAGUACCAUACGAAUAAGCACCGGCUAACUCCGUGCCAGCAGCGGC
rnacentral:rRNA from 1 species